rnacentral:rRNA from 1 species
UACGUAGGGUGCAAGCGUUAAUCGGAAUUACUGGGCGUAAAGCGUGCGCAGGCGGCUUUGCAAGACAGAUGUGAAAUCCCCGGGCUCAACCUGGGAACUGCAUUUGUGACUGCAUAGCUGGAGUACGGCAGAGGGGGAUGGAAUUCCGCGUGUAGCAGUGAAAUGCGUAGAUAUGCGGAGGAACACCGAUGGCGAAGGCAGUCCCCUGGGCCUGUACUGACGCUCAUGCACGAAAGCGUGGGGAGCAAACAGG